AUUAACGCUAGCGGCAGGCAUAAUACAUGCAAGUUGAACGGCAGCACAGGUAGCAAUACUGGGUGGCGAGUGGCGCACGGGUGCGUAACACGUAUGCAACCUACCCUAUACAGGCGAAUAACCUUUAGAAAUGAGGGCUAAUACGCCGUAGUAUUACAGAUGGGCAUCUAUUUGUAAUUAAAGAUUUAUCGGUAUAGGAUGGGCAUGCGUCCCAUUAGUUAGUUGGCAAGGUAACGGCUUACCAAGACGAUGAUGGGUAGGGG
rnacentral:rRNA from 1 species